CCUACGGGGGGCAGCAGUGAGGAAUAUUGGACAAUGGGCGCAAGCCUGAUCCAGCCAUGCCGCGUGCAGGAUGACGGUCCUAUGGAUUGUAAACUGCUUUUGCACAGGAAGAAACACCCCCUCGUGAGGGGGCUUGACGGUACUGUGAGAAUAAGGAUCGGCUAACUCCGUGCCAGCAGCCGCGGUAAUACGGAGGAUCCAAGCGUUAUCCGGAAUCAUUGGGUUUAAAGGGUCCGUAGGCGGUUUAGUAAGUCAGUGGUGAAAGCCCAUCGCUCAACGGUGGAACGGCCAUUGAUACUGCUAGACUUGAAUUAUUAGGAAGUAACUAGAAUAUGUAGUGUAGCGGUGAAAUGCUUAGAGAUUACAUGGAAUACCAAUUGCGAAGGCAGGUUACUACUAAUGGAUUGACGCUGAUGGACGAAAGCGUGGGUAGCGAACAGGAUUAGAUACCCCAGUAGUC
rnacentral:rRNA from 1 species